rnacentral:lncRNA from 1 species
AAACAGAGGUGCUGCAGCCCUAGCUGCUGCCACCUCUCGCUCCUCUCUCUCUUCCCUCUCUUUUCCCUCUUCUUCUCCUUCUUCCUUCUCCUUCCUUUCUUCUUCUUCUCUUUUUCCUCACCUUCUCUUCCAGCUGCAGCUGCCACCGCCGUAGCCGCAGCUCCUCCUUUCCCUUCUCUUCUUCUCCUCUUCUUCUUCCCUUCUCCUCCCCGACGUCACACACACCCUCUUCUCUGUUUCCUCUGCAGGAAACAGAGGUAUCACAACCUCUUCUCCUGCUUCCUCUUCUUCUUCUCUUCCUCUUCUUCUUCUUCUCCUCUUCGAACGCCCCACACCUCUCCUCUGUUUCCAUCUGCAGGAAACAGAGGUGCUGCAGCCCUAGCUGCUGCCACCUCUCGCUCCUCUCCUUCUUCCCUCUCUUUUCCCUCUUCUUCUCCUUCUCUUCUUCUCCUCUUCCCUUUUCCUCCCCAAUGCCACACACCUCCUCCCUGCAGCCUUGCCGCAGCUAUCCUCCUCUCUUCUUGUUCUUCUUCCUCUACUUCUCUUCUUCUUCUCCCCACACCCCACAGCUCCUCUCUCAGCUCCUCUCUCUGUUUCGGGAACAGAGAACGUGGGAGGCGGUGGGAUAAAACUGAAAUUUUUGGUUUUCUUUAUUUUUUUCUUUUUGCAACUUAACAGUUUAGUCCUUGAAAUUUUUAUAUUUA